rnacentral:lncRNA from 1 species
CCCCCAGAAAGUGCUGAGGGAGAGCGAGAUCGAUGAGAACUUCAAGCAGCUCUUCAAGCAGCUGGCGGGGCCGGACCUGGAGAUCAGCGUCACCGAGCUGCAGACCAUCCUCAACCGCAUCAUCGCCAAACACAAAGACCUGCGCACCAAGGGCUUCAGCCUGGAGUCCUGCCGGAGCAUGGUGAACCUCAUGGACAAAGACGGGAACGGGAAGCUGGGGCUGGUGGAGUUCAACGUGCUCUGGAACCGCAUCCGCAACUACCUGGUGGGUCUGGGGGCUCCUGGGGGCAUUUUGGGGGUC